rnacentral:rRNA from 2 species
ACAGUGAAACCGCGAAUGGCUCAUUAAAUCAGUUAUCGUUUAUUUGAUAGUACCUUUUACAUGGAUAACCGUGGUAAUUCUAGGGCUAAUACAUGCACCAAAGCCCUGUGUUCGCGCAUAGGGUGCUAUUAUUAGAUCAAGGCCAUACCGGCGGCGCAAGCCUCGGUCUCUGUGGUGACUCUGGAUAAUUUCUGCUAAUCGCAUGCUCUUGCAGCGGCGAUGUGUCAUUCAAAUUUCUGCCUUAUCAACUUUCGAUGGUACGUUAUUCGCCUACCAUGGUUGUUACGGGUAACGGGGAAUCAGGGUUCGAUUCCGGAGAGGGAGCCUGAGAAACGGCUACCACCUCCAAGGAAGGCAGCAGGCGCGCAAAUUACCCACUCCCGGCUCGGGGAGGUAGUGACGAAAAAUAACAAUACAGUGUCCUUUAGGAUAUUGUAAUUGGAAUGAGUCGAGUCUAAACCAUUUAACGAGUAUCAAUUGGAGGGCAAGUCUGGUGCCAGCAGCCGCGGUAAUUCCAGCUCCAAUAGCGUAUAUA